UUGUUGUAGCAAUAUAACAUGAAAGUGGCGCACGGGUGCGUAACACGUAUGCAAUCUACCUUUAAUUGGAGCAUAGCCUCGAGAAAUCGGGAUUAAUACUCCAUAACAUAAUUAAGUGGCAUCACUUGAUUAUCAAACCUCCGGGGAUUAAAGAUGAGCAUGCGCAACAUUAGCUAGUUGGUAAGGUAACGGCUUACCAAGGCUACGAUGUUUAGGGGGUCUGAGAGGAUGAUCCCCCACACUGGUACUGAGACACGGACCAGACUCCUACGGGAGGCAGCAGUAGGGAAUAUUGGGCAAUGGAGGCAACUCUGACCCAGCCAUGCCGCGUGCAGGAUGACGGCCCUCUGGGUUGUAAACUGCUUUUAUACGGGAAGAAAAAAUACUACGUGUAGUAUACUGACGGUACCGUAAGAAUAAGGAUCGGCUAACUCCGUGCCAGCAGCCGCGGUAAUACGGAGGAUCCAAGCGUUGUCCGGAUUUAUUGGGUUUAAAGGGUGCGUAGGCGGAUCUUUAAGUCAGUGGUGAAAGCCUGCAGCUUAACUGUAGAACAGCCAUUGAAACUGAAGAUCUUGAAUGUGGUUAAAGUAGGCGGAAUGUAUCAUGUAGCGGUGAAAUGCUUAGAUAUGAUACAGAACACCGAUGCGAAGGCAGCUUGCUGAACCAUUAUUGACGCUGAGGCACGAAAGCGUGGGGAGCGAACAGGAUUAGAUACCCUGGUAGUCCACGCCCUAAACGUUGAUUACUCGUUGUUGGCGAUAUACUGUCAGCGACCAAGCUAAAGCGUUAAGUAAUCCACC
rnacentral:rRNA from 1 species